AAUAUUGCGGGAUCCACGAGCCAGCUCACCCACACCCUCAAGAAUGCCAUGCUAUGCCCUUGAAUUUGGUUCAAGGGCAAUAGAAGAGAUGAGAUCAGCUGCAGCAAGGGGGACUGCGUAGAGUAGCUACGCUGAACAUGCCGGCAGUGGAAAAAUAGACAUCGGCAGUGUUAGUGAGUUUUGUGUGUGUGACCGUUUAGGAAAAAGAAAGACCGGCCAACGUAGAGGACCCUUUUACCCGAAUCGAAAUAAAAAGGCAUAAAUUGUAUCGGCUGGCUUCUCGUAGAUGGGCCAAAAUUACCAUUCCCCGGCCCGCGGAAUCCUGGUCACACCCCUGCUCGGGCGCGACCCGCCACAGCGCCACUGACAAUUAAUAUAAUUAAUCUAUGCCUACAUAAACGCAUACCUAUUUACAUGCGUAUAUAAA